AAUUCCCAAAAUUCAUGAAUCGUUAGCCUCGAGGACAAGGCUGAUUUGAAGAGGGCGGGUCUGUUAGGACUCUAGCUAGGAGAGUCCUAAUUGAGAGGGACAUUCAUGUAAAACCUACCUAAGCCGACCCCUAUUAAAGAGGUGAAGAGGCCGGCUAGGGUUAGGAGGUUGUUUCUUAGAGAAGAAUAAGGAGUUGUAAAGGAAUAGAAGUCUUGAGUAGGAGUCCUAUUAGGAGUUGGUUAGAAGUAGGAGUCUCGAGUAGGAGUCCUAUUAGGAGUUAGGGUUUAGAAGCCCUAUAAAUAGUCAUGUAUUCCUCCUCUUUUGAUAAGCAAUAGAUGAAUCUUUUCUGCAGCCUUUGAGGAACAACUUGGAGGGAGGAACCCCUAUAGAGUUCCAAGGAGGCCGAUCCCCUAAAGAGAUCAACCCCAAGUUUAGAAUAUGCAAGGGUUCUAACAUGGUAUCGCCAGAGCUCGGUCUCCGAGCUCUGUCAAGCGGUCGUAUCGCCCAAUCUGGCGGUAGUAUCGCCAGGACCCCGAAAAUCCGAGAGAUGACAUUUUUGAGCUCCAAAUUCAAAUUAGUUUGGGGCCUAUAUAUACCCCACUCUUUCCUGCAUGAAAGGGCACCGAAAAUCCAAUCUUACUCUGUGAUUUUUAGAGCUCAAAAUUGUUGUAUAAGCUAAAAGUUCUCCUCCCUCUUUUCUUCCAAGUUUUGAUCGUUCAAGAGAGGAGUGAAAAUUCUGUAAGGGUUGUCUCCUUAGCCCAUCAAAAGGAGUGAAACUGUAAAAGAGUGGUUGGCCUUCGCCUAUUGAAGGAAGGCCUCUAGUGGACGUCGGUGACCUCGUCGGAGGAGGAGCCAAAAGUGGAUAUAGGUCAAGAUUGACCGAACCACUCUAAAAUUGCAGUGCUCUCUGGUUUGCAUUUAUUCUUGCUGCUUACCUUACUACAAACCUCCAUAUGUGCUUUACUUCCUCAUUACUUUUGCUGCACUCAUUUACGAACUUGCUUUCAAGUUAAGUUUCCGAAAAUGGUUUUACUUCGGAAACGAUUUCAUCGUACGAACGUCGUUUUAAAUUAUUGAAAGUUUUCCGCUGCACUAAUUCACCCCCCCCCCCCCUCUUAGUGCUCUUGAUCCUAACAAUUGGUAUCAGAGCGGGAUUAACUCUCAAACGGAUUAAAGCCCAAGAGAGAUGGCAAACGCCGGAAACCAAGAGGGCCACUCUAUUACACGUCCACCCAUGUUCAAUAGGACGAACUACACCUAUUGGAAGACCCGAAUGAGGAUCUUCCUUAUUUCAAUGGAUUUUGAACUUUGGAAUCUUGUCAAAAAUGGAUUUUCAAAGUCUUCUCUUCCAAUGAUCGAUUGGAAUGAAUUAGAGAAGAAGACUUUUGCUCUUAAUGCAAAGGCUAUGAAUGCCUUAUUUUGUGCGCUUGAUAAAAAUGAGUUCAAUCGUGUUUCUAUUUGUGAAACCGUGUUUGAUAUUUGGCAUACACUCGAAGUGACUCACAAAGGCACAAGUAGAGUGAAAGAGUCAAAAAUCAAUCUUUUGAUACAUUCGUUUGAACUUUUCCGAAUGAAACCGAGCGAGACUAUUGGCGACAUGUACACCCAUUUCACGAAUGUCGUCAAUGGUCUAAAGGGACUCGGCAAAAGUUUUUUGGAUUUUGAGUUCGUAAAUAGGAUUCUAAGAUCCCUUCCUAAGAGUUGGGACCCUAAAGUCACUGCUAUUCAAGAGGCUAAAGAUUACAACUUCCCUCUUGAAUAACUAAUCGGGUCAUUAAUAACCUAUGAAAUGACUUGCAAGGCUCAUGAAGAGCAAGAAGACAUCCUUCAAAAGAACAGGAAGGAUAUAACACUUAGAACUUUAGAUGACCACNNNNNNNNNNNNNNNNNNNNAAUUUGCUACGAGUAGCAAAAAGCUGGGACACUACAAAAGUGAUUAUCCCCAAGCCAAGAAGAGAACAUCAAAGAAGAAGGCGCUCAAAGUAACAUGGGAUGACUUGAGCGCAUCCGAAGAAGAGGAGCCCAACACCGAGCAAGUUGCUCAUUACACCUUAAUGGCUAUCGGCGAAGAGAUAACAAAUUUAAUUGAUGCAGAUUUAUCAUUUGAUGAAUUAUUAAAUGUCUUCCAUGACUUAUUUGAUGAAUGCAAAACAAUUAUUAGAAAAUAUAAAUUGCUGAAAAUAAGCAUGAUAGUCUUGUUAGCAAUUUUGAUAAAUUAAAAACUGAAUAUCAUGAUAGUUUAGCUCAAUGUGAAAAAUGCCAUGAUCUAGAAACUCUCCAAAAGGAGAACACUCUACUUAAGGACGUCUUAAAGAAAUUCGAGAUUAGUAGUAAGUCUUUGAACAUGAUCCUUACAAAUAAGGGUCACAUUCCAAAAAGAAGUGGAAUUGGAUUUGUGAGAAGUCCUUACCAAAAUCCAACCACCUUCAUAAAAGGCCCUAUCUUACAUGUUCAGCACCAAAGCAAAUGUAACUUUUGUUGCAAACAUGGACAUAAAAUGUAUCAUUGUCCAAUCAAGAAAAUUAGCCCGAAUAAACUGAUUUGGAUUCCUAAAGUAACCAUGAUAAACUCUAUGCAACAUAAUAAACAAUGUAGAUCAGUUUUUGAGGCACCCAAAAGUAAAUGGGUACCUAAAAAUUAUCCUUUCUUGUAGAGACAUACACUAUCACAAGCUAGGAGCAAGAGAUGGAAUCUUGAUAGCGGAUGCUCAAGGCAUAUGACCGGAGAUCCAUCUCAAUUCUCUAAGCUCACUAGCAUAGACGAAGGCUAUGUCACCUUCGGAGACAACAACAAGGGUAAAAUUAUUGGUAAAUGAACCAUAGGUAACAAAUCCAACUUCUUUAUUGAAGAUGCUUUCUUAGUUGAUGGUUUAAAACAUAACCUCUUGAGCAUUAGUCAAUUAUGUGAUAAAGGAUAUAUCGUCAAAUUCGAAUCUAAUGCUUGCAUCAUUGAAAAACCACACAAAAACAUAUCUAUGAUUGUAUUAAAACAGAAUAACGUAUACACCAUUGACAUCAAUGAUCUUUGCAAUAAAAUAUAUUUCUCGGUUUUGAAUGAGGAUGCUUGGCUUUGGCAUAGGAGAUUAGGUCAUGCUAGCAUGAAACUAAUCACUCAAAUAUCAUCCAAAGAACUUGUAUAAAGAAUUCCUCAUAUCAAGUUCAUCAAAGAUAAUGUGUGUGAUGCUUGUCAAUUAGAAAAAUAAAUUAAGGGUAGUUUCAAAUCUAAGAAUCAAAUAAGUACCUCUAGACCCUUACAAUUAAUCCAUAUGGACUUGUUCGGAUCAAUCUCUACAUCAAGCCUAGGAGGUAGCAAAUACGCCUUCGUCAUUGUAGAUGACUAUAGUAGAUACAUAUGGACUUAUUUCUUAAAACACAAAAAUGAAUGCUUUAGAUAUUUCACCAAGUUUUGUAAACUUGUUCAAAAUAAAAAGGGUUUUAUGAUUUCAUCAAUUCGAAGUGAUCACGGUGGUGAAUUUCAAAACCGUGAUUUCAAAGAAUUUUGUGAAUCUAAUUGAUACAACCACAACUUUUCUACUCCAAGAAAUCCUCAACAAAAUGGAGUAGUAGAAAGAAAGAAUAGAAAUUUACAAGAAAUGACAAGAACCAUGUUGAAUGAACAUAGUCUACCCAAAUACUUUUGGGCCGAAGCCGUAAACACUUCAUGCUAUAUUUUGAAUAGAGUUCUAGUAAGAUCCUUACUCACCAAAACUCCCUAUAAGUUGUGGAACAAUAAAAAACCCAAUGUUUCAUAUUUUAAAGUUUUUGGGUGUAAGUGUUUUAUCUUGAAUGAAAAAGAUGCCUUAGGAAAAUUUGAUGCUAAAUCCGAUGAAGGAAUUUUUCUUGGUUAUUCUUUGGUUUCUAAAGCUUUUCGUAUCUUCAAUAAAAGGACUUUAAUUAUAGAAGAAUCUAUUCAUGUUGUUUUCAAUAAGAUUUCUGAAAUCAAGAAAAAUGACUUUGAUGAUAAUGUUAAUUUCGAUUCUUUGUAUUUAAAUGAAACCCCUUCGUCAACUGGCAACUUGGAUGCAUCCACUUCCAAAACAUCCUUACCCAAGGAUUGGAAGUAUGUAGAUGCUCAUCCUAAGGAGCUAAUCCUAGGAGACACAUCUAAGGGGGUUUAAACACAUUCAUCUCUUAAAAAUUUUUGUGCCAACAUCGCUUUUCCCUCCCAAAUUGAACCUAAAUGUAUUGAUGAAGCCAUGAAAGAUGAUUCAUGGAUUAUCACAAUGCAAGAUGAGUUAAAUCAAUUUGAGAGAAAUGAGGUGUGGAAGCUUGUUACUAGGCCAAAUGACCAUUUAGUUAUUGGUACUGAAUGGGUCUUUACAAACAAGCAAGAUGAAUAUGGUAUCGUGGUUGAACAUAAGGCUAGAUUAGUGGCCAAAGGUUUUAACCAAGAAGAAGGUGUCAAUUAUGAAGAAACCUUCGCUCUUGUGGCUAAAUUAGAAGCCAUAAGGAUGCUCCUUGCCUAUGCUAGUAAUAAUAAUUUUAAGUUGUUUCAAAUGGAUGUUAAAAGCGCUUUUCUUAAUGGUUUUAUUUCAGAAAAAGUUUAUGUUAAACAAUCUCCCAGAUUUAAAAAUAAUAGCCUCCCUAAUCAUGUAUUUAAAUUAACCAAAAUUCUCUAUGGUUUAAAACAAGCCCCAAGGGCUUGGUAUGAUAGACUAAGUACUUUUCUUAUUGAAAAUAAUUUCACAAAAGGCAAGGUCGAUACUACAUUAUUUAUCAAGAAUUUUGAAAAUAAUUUUCUCAUUGUUCAGAUUUAUGUUGAUGAUAUUAUCUUCAGUUCUAUGAAUGAAUCUCUUUGUGAAUCUUUUGCUAAAAUCAUGAGUCUCGAAUUUGAAAUAAGUUUGAUGAGAGAAUUAACCUUUUUCUUAGGCUUACAAAUUAAGCAACUAAGCAAUGGCAUCUUUAUUAGUCAAACUAAAUAUGCUUUAGAUCUACUGAAAAGAUUUAAUAUGGAUAGCUCGAAAGCUAUUGACACUCCUAUGAGCACCUCUACUAAGUUAGAAGUUGAUGAAAGUGGAGAAAGCUUCGAUCAAUAAACUUAUAGGGAUAUGAUAGGAAGUUUACUUUACCUCACUGCAACUAGACCAGAUAUCAUGUUCAGUGUAGGACUUUGUGCUAGGUUUUAAUCGAACCCUAAGAUAUCUCAUUUCAAAGCGGUUAAAAGAAUACUUAGAUAUCUUAAAGGUACCACAAAUCUAGGAUUAUGGUAUCCAAAAUCCGAGAAUUUUGAGUUAAUUGCUUAUGCUGAUGCGGAUUUUGCUAGGUGUAGACUAGAUAGAAAAAGCACAUCAGGAACAUGUCAAUUUUUGGGACAUUCCCUUAUUUCUUUGUCAUCUAAGAAAUAAAACUCGGUUGCACUAUCAACAAUCGAAGCUGAGUAUAUUGCAGCUAGUGCAUUCUAUGCACAAGUUGUGUGGAUGAAAAGCACCUUAGAAGAUUAUAAAGUCCAUCUUAAAAAUAUUCCCAUUAAAUGUGAUAACACAAGUGCAAUAUGUUUAACAAAGAAUCUCAUUCAAUACUUAAGAACAAAACAUAUUGAUAUUAGACAUCACUUUAUACGAGAUCAUGUUACUAAUCAUGAUGUAAUCAUAGAGUUCAUAGAUACUAAGCAUCAGCUAGCUGAUAUUUUUAUAAAACCUCUAAGUGAAGAACAAUUUGAUAUCAUUAGAAGAGAAUUAGGAAUGUUAAUAUGUCCGAAUGCAUGAACUUGUUAAGAUUAUUUUUUAAAUUUUUUUUAAUGAUCAAAUCACUUAAUUGCCAUGAUGAUUUUACACAAUUGCAUGCCUUAAUUACAUGUUGAAAAUUAUGUGUUUUGGAUACAAAAAUUUUCAUGAUAAUAAGCAUGUUUUAUCUUCAUUUUUGAAAGUGUUAAAUUUCAUUUUCGGAUCUUCUUGAUCCUAACAAUCGGAUUUUCUCGAUAUAUUAUUUUCUUCCGGACUUACUAAACAUUUCAUAUCAAGUUUUGGAUUCACAUCAUUGAUUUUUGACAUAUGAAAUCAACUAGCAAAUGCAUCUCUCAUAGACUUAUCAUGUGAAAAAUAUCUUUCGAGAAAUGGAUUUGACGAUUCCUUCUCUUUCGAAAAAUAAUUUUACGUGCAAAGAUUUGAUUUAAAAAUAAAGAGGAAGAAGCAAUGAAAAUCAUCUCCAUGUCAUGUUUUCCUUGAGAUGUUUAUAUAAUUGGUAUCCUAUCACUCAUUAUUGAAAAAUGAUAUAAACCUAGUUAAAAUUUGCUAAUAUCAUUCUCCUUUUUGUUGAUGACAAAGGGGGAGAAAUAUAUAAAUUAAUGCUUGUUGAAUCUCGGAUUUUGAUGAUAUAAUCAAUUGGUGGGUUAAUUGAUCUAAUCCAUAUUAUUGAGUUAAGUGUGCAGGAUUAACUACGAUAACCAGAAAACAUAAAGCAAGGAUACCGGAGUCAAGUUCGAUGGACGUUUAAGAGUCCGAAGAAUCGUCGGAGAUGCUUCCGGAACCAACCGAGAAGAAAUCGGGAACCUGUCAGAAUUUUCGGAAGUUCGCCGAAGAGAUUGUCGGAGGUUCACGGAGAUCAAUGAGAAGGCUCGGCUACUCGUUAAAGUCAUCACAAGUUCGGGAGCUUGAUGGGAGUCCAUCGGAAGAAAGUUCGUCGGAAAGCUCGCCGGAACAAGACUCGAUGUUCGCGGUUGAAAACUUGCUUAGGAUGUGUUUUGUUAUGUAGUUCACUUGUAAUUAGGAUUAGGAUUAAGAGAUAAUCCUAUAUCCUGGUUAGGGGCCAACUGGGCCAAAAGUCGGAUUUGGUUUGGGCUAAAAUUAAGCCAAACCAGUGAACCGGAGAGCCAGGCGGUGGCACCGCCCAACACCCGAGAGCUGGGCGGUGACACCUCCUGGGCUGGGCGGUUGCACCGUCCAGCACCCGAACGCUGGGCGGUGGCACCGCCAGCAUCGGGAACUUAAAGAGAAUUCAAAUUUUAGAGCCCAAAUUUUGGAGCCCAAAUUUGAAUCCUCUUGAGGCCUAUAAAUACCCCUCAAAUCUCAGCUGAGAUUAUAACUUUUGAGAAGCAUUUGAUUGAGAGAAAAGUCUUAGAAAGUCUUAGCAAGUCUUGUUUUCAAUUUGCCAGAGAGUUCUCCUCCUUCUUUCUUAUUGAAAAUUUGUAAGAGGUUGAACUGCUUGUAAAAGGUUGUAAGAGGGGUAUUUACCCUUCCAUUUCAAGAGAUUUGCUAGUGGAAGGUGGGAGCCUCAUCGAAGAGGGGCCUCGCAAAUGGAUGUAGGUCAUUUGACCGAACCACUCUAAAAUCGGCGUAAUCUCUGGUUUGCAUUUCAUUAUUGUUAUUUACAUUACUGCAAACCUUCUUUCAUGCUUUAGUUCCUUAUUACCUUUGCUGCGCAACUUUAAGAAUACGCUUUCAAGUUAAACUUUUCAAGUUCCGUUCUUAUCGUACGAAAGAUUUUUCUAAAACCGAAGUUUUAAUCCGCUGCACUAAUUCACCCCCCCCCUCUUAGUGCCGCUCCGAUCCUAACAAUGCUAUGAGUGCCAUAUUUGAAUUUAAUGCUAUAUAAAUUGAUGCUAUGAGUGCCAUAUUUGAAUUUGAAUUAUGUUAAGAUAUCAAAAUCUUGUAUCGAAAUAUAUGAUAAAUUGGUAAUAGAAUUGCUAUGAUUGUCAUAUCUUAACAUAAUAUUUGCACUAUGUUAUUACCAUAUUUGCACUAUGUUAAGAUAUCUAGAGCAUACAUGGCAAUUCUACAAAUUGAUAUCUUGUCAUGUGAUGAAAUUCUAUGAUUGCUAAACACUUAUGUUUGUAUUAUAUUAAGAUAUCAAGAAUUUACAUCGCAGUUUUACAUGUUGAUAUCUUACCAUAUGAUGAAUUGCUACGAUUGCUAUCUUUCAUAUUUGAAAUGUAAAACCUGAAAAUGGAUGUAAAGUCUUGACAUCAUUUUCAGAGAAAUACAUCAUGAUAGGAAUCAUGAUGAGAGCAUUGAUAAGGUUAAACGAUCUUAACUUAUCAAUAUGUCUCUUGAAUUCAAAAGCUUUGAAUUCAAGAAUAACUUAUCUCAAGUAUGGCAUAUAGAUAGGGGGAGUUAAGGUUAACUCCGUUAUCAAUUGAUUGUCAGCAUCAAAAAGGGGGAGAUUGUUGAAUCUUGGAUUUUGAUGAUGAAGUCAAUUGUCAUUUGUUAUCUAAUCCAUAUGUUGAGAUAAGUGUAUAGGAUUAACUACGAUGGAAGAAAGACAUGCAGCAGGAGUUGCGCCGGAGUCAAGACCAUGAUCACGUUGAGGGUUCGAGAGUUCGACGGAAGUCCGGACAGUCGUCGGAGGUUCUAUGAGAACAAAUUCGAGAAGUCCAGGAGCUUGCCAAAGAAGCACGUUGGAAUUCGGCAAGUGGAUCAUCGCAAGUCCAAGAGUUUGCCAGAAGUCCGCCGGAGCAUUGCCGAAGGUUCGUCGGAAGGUAGUACCGCCAGGACCCCGAAAAUCCAGGAAAAGAUAUUUUUGAGAUCUAAAUUCAAACCAGUUUGGGGGCUAUAUAUACCCCACCCUUUCCUGCAUGAAAGGGCACCGAAAAUCCAAUCUUACUUUGUGAUUUUUAGAGUUCAAAGUGUUGUAAAGGCUAGAAGUUAUCCUCCCUCUUUUCUUCCAAGUUUUGAUCUUUCAAGAGAGGAGAGAAAUUUCUGUAAGGGUUGUCUCCUAAGCCCAUCAAAAGGAGUGAAACUAUAAAAGGGUGGUUGGCCUUCACCUAUUGAAGGAAGGCCUCUAGUGGACGUCGGUGACCUCAUUGGAGGAGGAAGCCAAAAGUGGAUGUAGGUCAAGAUUGACCGAACCACUCUAAAUCUCGGUUUGCAUUUACUUUCUAUUCUCUAUCUUAACUGCAAACUACCUCCGUAGCUUUACUUUAACUACACUUCGCCUAAUCUAAGUUAAAGCAACUUUCGAAUCGGCUUUCAUACCGAAAUCGCUUUUAUCGUACGAACGUCGUAUUUCGGUUUGCAAUUACUUUCUAUUCUCUAUCUUAACUGCAAACUGUCUCCAUAGCUUUACUUUUACUACACUUCGCCUAAUCUAAGUUAAAACAAUUUCUGAAUCAGCUUUCAUACCGAAAUCGCUUUUAUCGUACGAACGUCGUUUUAAAUCGUCAAAAGUUUUUCGCUGCACUAAUUCACCCCCCCCCCCCCUCUUAGUGCUCUUGAUCCUAACAUUAUAAAGAUAGAUGAAGUAUGGUGUGAUGUUGCUCCUAUGGAUGCUUGUCAUUUGUUGUUGGGAAGACCUUGGCACCUUGGCAUUAUGAUAGAACGGUGUUGUAUGACGGCUACAAACAUACUUAUUCUUUUAAGGUGAAUGAAAAGAAGAUUAUCUUAGCUCCAUUACUACCUUCUGAAAUCAGUACACCAAAGACGGAAGUUAGUGCUUUUAUAUCCUAUGAUGAAUGCAAAGGAGAAUUAGAAAAGUGUGGUCAUAUUAUGGCUCUAGUGGUAGUAGAGGAGAAUGAACAACUGUUAGGACUCUAACUAGGAGAGUCCUAAUAAAGAGGGAUAUUCAUGUAAAAACUACCUAAGUCGACCCCUAUUAAAGAGGUGAAGAGGCCGGCUAGGGUUUGGAGGUUAUUUCUUAGAGAAGAAUUAGGAGUUGUAAAG
rnacentral:lncRNA from 1 species